rnacentral:rRNA from 1 species
GGAAGGGAUGUAUUUAUUAGAUUAAAAACCAAUGCCCUUCGGGGCUCUCUGGUGAUUCAUAAUAACUUCUCGAAUCGCACGGCCUUGCGCCGGCGAUGGUUCAUUCAAAUUUCUGCCCUAUCAACUUUCGACGGCUGGGUCUUGGCCAGCCAUGGUGACAACGGGUAACGGAGGGUUAGGGCUCGACCCCGGAGAAGGAGCCUGAGAAACGGCUACUACAUCCAAGGAAGGCAGCAGGCGCGCAAAUUACCCAAUCCCGACUCGGGGAGGUAGUGACAAUAAAUACUGAUACAGGGCUCUUUUGGGUCUUGUAAUUGGAAUGAGUACAAUUUAAAUCCCUUAACGAGGAACAAUUGGAGGGCAAGUCUGGUGCCAGCAGCCGCGGUAAUUCCAGCUCCAAUAGCGUAUAUUAAAGUUGUUGAGGUUAAAAAGCUCGUAGUUGAACCUUGGGCCUAGCCGGCCGGUCCGCCUCACCGCGUGCACUGGCUCGGCUGGGCCUUUCCUUCUGGAGAACCGCAUGCCCUUCACUGGGUGUGUCGGGGAACCAGGACUUUUAC